GCCCGAGUGGGGUAGUUUGGAUUAUCCUAGAGGCCUGCGGAGCCUCAGACCUGGGUUCGAAUCCCAGCUCGGGCG
rfam:Thermoplasmatales archaeon I-plasma AMDT3_IPLC00001, whole genome shotgun sequence.